rnacentral:lncRNA from 1 species
UCUCCCACUUUCCAAAUUGUAUAACUAACACACAAUUUCGAUGUUGAAAUAGCAAAUUGGAUGUUGAGUAGUUCAUUUUCAAAGAUACCUUGUCCAAAAUGACUAGAUGAACCAAUGAAUCUAACGGGUGUACCGCUAGGUCCAACAUCCGAAUUGUAACGGAAUAUGCCAUUUGCACAAGGGGCAUCUGAAUUUGGGGACUUACCUAGGUACACAUCACCACCUAACGCACCCCAAAAAGUGGAAAUAAUACGAUAACUCAAACGAGAAUCAAGUUCUUUACCAGUUACGUCAAGUACUGGAGUAGCAUCACUAGGUAGGUUAAUGGGAUUUUGGGAAGUGAAAGUUGAUGAAAACACCACAAUGGGAACCAAACACAAACAUAACAAAAAUAAACACUUCAUCUUGUUUAAGCUACUAAUUUUAUUUGUGUAUUGCUUGUUUGUGACUCCUCUACACUAAUGAAGCCUUCUAUUUAUAGACUCAUCACACUCUCAUAUUCCUUGCCAUGUAUUAAAAAUGACUACAGUUCCUUAUUGUGUUGUUAUUACCCGUAAUUACUUAAAUGGUCAUUCAAUUAUAAUAAAUUUCUUAUCAAAUAUUAUUCAUUUUCUUCGUCUCAGUUUGUGUUGCACUUCUCGAAUUUAGAGGAUUCAAAUAAGAAUUUCUUUGUAAGUAAUUAUUUUUCUAUGUGUUUUAAUAUCUUGAAUUAUUAAAUAUUUGUGAUUUAUAUGUACUUUUUAUGUAUUCUUCAAAUAUGUAUAUAUAUUUUUUUUUUAAAAUUUCAUAUCUAAAUUUACGAUUAAAAUUAAACUAUUUAAUAAAUUUGACACGACGAAUUAAAAUCAUGAUGAAAUAUGUCUUCUUGUAUCAAAAAAUUCGUCAAGUAAGAGAGUUUAUCUAUCGAGUAAAUAUAGCUAGAAACAAAAAGAGAGAAUUAGAUUGAUUUAAAGGUUAAUAUAUAAUUCCCCUUUUGGUCAUUCCUCAUCCAUGUUAACAUUAACCUUCUUAUAAACUGUUGGUUAUUAAGCAUUUUAAUAUUAUUUUAUAUUAAAGUAGCUUUUUUAUUUGACUUAAUGCUGCCAAACCAUUUUUUUGGUCAUGUUAAUGCCAAUUAUUCUUGGCUUUAUUGGUCAGAUGUCAUAUAUCCUAUAACGUUCCAGUGAACGUUGUGGUCAACAUCUUGGGCAGUUUUGCAUUUCCACGUUAGAGGCAUUGGGUUACCCCCUGUCAAUUAUUCCAUUCUUAAUUCCUCCAUUAUCCUUGGUAACCCUAUAUAACUUCUAAGACUAUUAUCUUCACUAUUUUACUACAUCAUUUAUCUUCUUAUUCAUUGCUAGGAAGACUUCUUCUAGUAUAAAUAGUAGUGGUCUUCAUUUGGUUUAUGACACAAGGAAAAUAUAAAGUGCAUAAAGUUUGUCAAAAAAAGAGUUCUUAUUAGUUGAAGGGAGGUGUUCUUUUUUGUGGAGAUUUGGACUCAAAUCUUGUCCAGAGUUGUUGAGUUAUACUUUGUGAAGGCUGUUGUAUCCUGGAGGGGACAAGUCAAAAAGGACUACUGCUCGACCGAUAAAAAAACAUUUGCUGCAGUGAACUUGAAUCUCCUUAAAGAGAGCGAGAUAUCCGCGCCUCAACCAAAAGAGAUUUAUUUCUUCAUUUUUAUUUUCAAUUGUAAUCUUGUAAUUCUGUUAUUUUGUAANNNNNNNNNNNNNNNNNNNNNNNNNNNNNNNNNNNNNNNNNNNNNNNNNNNNNNNNNNNNNNNNNNNNNNNNNNNNNNNNNNNNNNNNNNNNNNNNNNNNNNNNNNNNNNNNNNNNNNNNNNNNNNNNNNNNNNNNNNNNNNNNNNNNNNNNNNNNNNNNNNNNNNNNNNNNNNNNNNNNNNNNNNNNNNNUUUUGUGGAGCUUUGGACUCAACUCUUGUCCAGAGUUGUUGAGUUAUACUUUGUGAAGGCUGUUGUAUCCUGGAGGGGACAAGUCAAAAAGGACUACUGCUCGACCGAUAAAAAAACAUUUGCUGCAGUGAACUUGAAUCUCCUUAAAGAGAGCGAGAUAUCCGCGCCUCAGCCUGAAGAGAUUUAUUUCUUCAUUUUUAUUUUCAAUUGUAAUCUUGUAUUUUUUGUUAUCUUGUAAGUUUUUUCACUAACAUAAACUAAUUCAGAGUGUAUGACUCUAAAAUCUACAUUCCUGCACAUAAUGACCCUACAACCUUGCAUUCCUUACAAUAAUUAGACAAAUAAUUAUACUGUUUCACUUUCACUGUCCUUAUUUCUCCAAUAUUUUCAUCUUUUAUAUUCAUUCUAACAUGAUCGGGUAAGUUUUCCAUCAAGUCCACCGAAACCUUCACUUUUGCACAACUAAGUCGAAUCUUAUUGAUUAUUGUCAUGUCAAGAUGUAAAGGAGUGUCAACUGAUCGAUUAUGCCGAUGAGAAAAUAGAUUCCUUCACAUAGCAUGUGAGUAAAAGAUUUGGAAAUGGAGUCCAAGCCACGACUCUUUUGAAUCUUGAAUGAUAAAUCGAUGGUCUUUAUGAAUUUGCAUGAGAGAGAGAAAAUAUAAUUAGUUCUUCAAAUCAAGCUUUCAAUUUUAUGGGUGUACUUAUACAUAUAGAAUUGGCAUAUUUUAUUUAAUAAACUAAUAGCAUGUUAAUUUGGCCAAGUUUCUGAAUUCUGAAAUCACCAUAUUUUGAAAGGUAUUUUUGGUAAGAAAAAAUCUGCAUUUAGCUAGUAAAUUUUAAAGUAGUUUUAAGUAGCAAUUGGUAUUUGACCAAUUUUGCUAUAAGUGUUUUAAGUGUAAAAAAUUUAUUUAAUUAUUUUUAAUUAUUAAAAGAUGAUUAUUUUUUUUGUAGAAUAGACUUAAAUGAAAAAACUGGUUACAUAAAUUGAUACUCCAUUUGUUUUAAUUUAUUUGAUUUUUUUUUUAGUUAGUCUAAAAAAUGACAUUUUCUUAUAUAAAUAAUAUUUAGUGACACUAUCAAUAUUUAUCUAUAUGGAUCCCACUUAUUUGCCAAACGCUAAUUUGGUACUCCCUCUGAUACAAUACAAGUGACUUGUUAGGAUGUGACAUCCUUAGAAAAUAUAUAAGACUCGUCUAUUUUUCAAUAUAAAAUAAUGUCAAUAAUUCAUUUAUAUUGAGUUAGAGGGAGUAACCCCUAAUAUGUACUUUGCUUUAUUUGUUCCACGUAGGAGAAUAGUCAUAAAACAUGAUUUUUAUGUGCUAUAGAUAAAGUUUUAACAAUAAAAUACUUAACGCAAGAAAAUACACAAAACAUGAUUUGCGUUAAUUGAUAGGAUAAAGACAGGAAAUGGGCCUUACUAAAUCAAUCAACCAAAGUAGAUGAUGACUCUUUCUUUUGAUCACAUAAAAUUAAUAAUAUAUUUUUAUUUCUUCAUAUUUUAUUUGUAAUUGGAGUUUAUUUUUCCUACAUUAAUUUUUUUUUUUGCUAACAAUCUUAUUGUGUAUGCUGAAACAUAUAAGGGUUGUUUGGUAGAGUGUAUUAAAAAAAAUAAUGCAUGCAUUAGCCUUGUGGUACUAGUACCUUGUUUGAUAUUCUUCUCCAACCUAUGUAUAACUAAUGCUUGCAUUCAAGUUUAAGAACGAUCAAAAUCAAGACCAUCAGAUUCAAGAAUAAGCUCGAAGCCCUUGAAUUCAAGUAAACGUCAAGAUCAAAAUAAAGUUCAAGUUCAUCGAAGAUUCAACAACAAGCUUUAAAGCCCUUGAAUCCAUUUUUAUCCUAUUUAGAAAAUUUAGUUUUAACCCACUCUGCCCUACACUCGUAUAUAUGCCUAAACCUGCCCCGUUCCUCAUAUGUGAUAUUAUUAUUUCAUUAUUAGGUAUAAGAUAGUAAACGAUAAGGAAAGACAAUUUAUUAAGAAAGCCAUGCUAAAAUAUAUAUAGAUAUACCUUAGCAGGUGUUUAUUUUACAACAUAACAUAGUAGCUGGCCAGCAGGCAGGCUAAAACAUAGUAUAGUCUAGCUGCAGGCAUUAUUUGUUACUAGACUUCCUGGAAUAAGACAUCAAGAGGAUUUUCGUUGACAAGAGCCAAACGCCUUUUUCCAUUUUGAAUAACUACACCCACUUUUGCACAAAACUGAUCCUCAGGGCAACGUAGACAAAUAAUAGAAGUAAAUGGGCAAGACAAUAAGUUGUAACCAAUUUUUGAUGAUUUAACAAUCUUGAAAUAGCUGUUAUCUGCUUGCCCUAUGGUUCCUCCGGUCUCCAACAACAUCGUCCUAAAAUAUGCAUUUAGAUUUCCGACUUUCCAAAUUGUAUAACUAACACACAAUUUCACUGUUGGAAUAUUGAAUUGUAUGUUGAGUAGUUGAUCUUCAAAGAUAUUUGUAGAUAAAGGAAUGAAUCUAACGGGUGUACCGCUAGGUCCAACAUCGGAAUUGUAACGGAAUACGCCAUCUGGACAAGGGGCAUCUGAAUUUGGGGACUUUCCUAGGUAUACAUCACCACCUAAGGCACCCCUACCAAUGGAAAUAAUGCGAUAACUCGAAUUAGGAUUGAGUUCUUUACCAUUUGUGUCAAGUACCGGCUUAGGUAGAGGAGAUUCACUGGGUAGGUCAAUGAGAUUUUGGGAAGUGAAAGUUGAUGAAAACACCACAAUGGGAACCAAACACAAACAUAACAAAAAUAAACACUUCAUCUUGUUUAAGCUACUGAUUUUAUUGCUUGUGUUUUCUCUAUACUAAUGAAGCCUUCUAUUUAUAGAGUGAUCACACACUCAUAUUCCUUGCCAUGUUUUAAACAUGUAGUGGUCCCAGUAGCUACUCAACCAAUUAUAAUGGAGUAAAUCUUUACCAAAAAUUAUUUAUUUUCUUUCUCGCAAUUCAAGAAUACAAAUAAUUAAGUUUUUUAUCAUAAAAAUUUUCAUAUGUUUUGAAUUAUUAAUUAGUGUGACGUAAAUGUACUUUUUAUAUGGUGUCAAAUAUGUAUAAUUAAAAUUCAUGUCCAAAUUUACUGUCAAAGUUAAAUUAUUUUGACUCUCAAAAUUCGAACGAUUCCUCAUAUUGACCCAGAUGAAAUAUGUUUUCUUUUAUCAAUAAAAUCCGUCAAGUCACAGAGUUUACCUACCAAGUCAUUAUACCUAGAAAAAAAAGAUAAAAAAUAAAGCAACAUAAAUCUCCCUUUUAAAUUUGAUUUCUUUCAACUUACCUCCUUUUCUUUCAAAAAAAUUAUCUUAAAGAUAAAUAAUUUUACCUCUCAAACUUUUACCAAACAAUUUAUAAGGCUCGUUUUGAAUCAUAUAUUUUUUGACUUUUUCUUUAUAAAAAGAAAUAUCUUGUCCAAUAACUAGUGCAAUCUAAAUCUACUUAAAGAAAGAACCUAAUGAGAGUUCUGUAUUUCUUUCUUUCUUUCUUUAUUGGUAGCAUAUUUGUGGAUGGCAAAUAUCCGAAAAUUAAUUAAAAUAUUUUUUUUUAAAAAAAUAAUCAUUCUCUCCAAAACCAAAUAAAAAAUCUAUGAAAAUAACUUUUUCCCAUUUCAUAAUUUUAAUGGAUUUGGCUCCCCUCCAUUUCGUCAAGUACACAUCUAGAUGAGAGACAUGUGUACUAUUUAAUUGUUAAAGGUCAAGAUUAUAUUGCAUUAACUAGUAUCAUAACCAUAGUUAAGUGAAUAAGUUUUGGAAAAAAAUACUCUCCAAAUUUAGUAAGAAUAAUUAAUUCUUCUCAAUUUUUGAUAUCCACUAUCCAUAUAUUUAUAUCAUUAAUUUUAUUUUAUAUUUAAAUAUUAAAAUGAUAACAACGUUUAGUUUGUUUAGCCUAACAGUAGUCUUACAAAAUAUUUUGCCUUUAAAUUGAUGUUUUCUUUUAUUUUAUUUUUUAAAAGAAUUUUUUUUUUGAUACUUUCAAUUGGAAAUCAUAUGGUUGAUAAAUCAGAUGACAAAAACUUAUACUAAAAAACAAAAUAUUAUUAUAUCAAAACUAAUAUAAAGAAAAACAUUGAAACUUUAGAAAGAAUAAAUCUCCCCAUAAACAAGACUCUUGAACGACUACAUUGUGGAUGUUAUUGUUGUUGUGUUAGAAGAAACAAACCUAUAUUUAUAGAGUCCUAAAAUCUUUCCUACUAGAAAAGAACUAGCUACUCCAAAACUUUUUCUUAAAAGGAAAGAAUAAACCAAAUAUGAAAGAAUAUUAUAUUUUCCUUUCAAGAAAAGUAAAAACAUUUAUGGUAAUGUUUUGUCUUUUCUUUAAUGAAAAAUAAAUCUUAAAUUAUGGUAAGAAAAUCUUAAUAAAAUCCUAACAGUGAGGUAAUGUGUUAAAGAAUGACAAAAGUCUCACAUCGGUGGUUAAUGAGAUGGGUGGACUCCUUAUAAGGCUUGUGUAAUCCUCCUCCCUUGGAGCUAGCUUUUGGGGUGUGAGUUAGGCCUAAGACCUAAUUUAACAUGGUAUCAAAGCAGAUCGAUUACUGCUGUAACUGCUUUCUGAUCUAAACACACACUGAUUGUACUGCUCAUCUCGCUGGUGAAGCUAUGGCGAAUGUGGACAAUGAGUUGCCUGAGAAGUUAAGUCACAAUCAUCCUCUGUUUUUACAUACAAUUGACAAUUCUGGAGUAUUACUCAGCUCAAUUCAACUAACCGGAGCUGAUAACUACUAUGUAUGGAGUCACGCUAUGAAGAUUGCAAUUCUAGGGCGUAAUAAGUUGGGAUUCAUUGACGGUUCAUGUAAAAAGGAGGCGUAUGGUCCUAAUUUGACAAAUCUAUGGAAAAGGUGUAAUGCAAUUGUACUUUCAUGGAUUAUGAACUCUGUGUCGAAGGAAUUACUUGGAGGAAUUGUUUACUCCACAAAUGCAACUACUGUGUGGAAGAAUCUCCAAGAACGAUAUGAUAAGGUUGAUGGAAGUCAUAUUUUUCAGCUUCAUAAAGAAAUUGCCACAAUUAGUCAAGGUACAAGUUCAAUUUCAGUCUAUUUUGCUCGAUUAAAUGAACUGUGGGUAGAGUUUGAUAGUUUAGAAUAGUUCCUGCUUGUGACUAUGCAAACUCGAGAGAAUUUGUUAUAUUUGUUCAUAAUCAGAAGUUAUUGCAAUUCCUUAUGGGUCUUAAUGAAUCAUAUGAACAAGCUAGAGGACAGAUCCUGAUGAAGAUGCCAUUACCAUCUCUCAAUAAGACUUAUUUUAUGUUAAUUGAAAGAGAAAGUCAACGAAACAUUUCACAAUCAUCUACUAGCUCGUCUGAGUUGAAUGCUUUGUUCACUAGUCGAAAUCCAACACAAUCAUUGCCUAGGUCAAGACCAUCACACACCUCUACCUAUGAUCCAAAUGCCUUUUGUGAUUACUGCAAACGCACAGGUCAUACUCAAGGUAUUUGUUAUCAGCUUCAUGGAUAUCCCCUUGGGUAUGAAAGGAAGAAGAAAGGACAAUUCUCUACUAACACUGGGAGGGGCAAACCUCAUAACGAAAGGAGACAAUAUCCAGCUGUCAAUAAUGUGGUUAGUGAAUCUGAACACAACCAUAGAUCUAACCUUGAUCACAAUAGAGGUAUGAGUUCAGGGAAUCAUGGUGGAAGCCAAGGAUAUGUGAGUCCAGGGAAUCAUGGUGGAAGCCAAGGUUAUGGGAGAGGAAAUAGUCAGGUUGAUCAAACUGAUUACCAAAGAGGAAUGACUGUCUUACAUGAACAAUAUAACCAGAUUUUAACUAUGCUUGGACAAACUAAUGUACAUGGAGGCACUGAAGGACCAUCUACAUCUUAUUCAAGUGCAAAUUUAGCUCAGGAAUAUCCCACAACAGGUACAACUACUGCACUCACAAGUCAUUCUACUCACACGUACUGGAUUAUAGAAUCAGGAGCCACAAAUCACAUAACACCACAUGCUGAUAUGCUUGUUCAGAAACACACUAUUUCACCAAAUAAUCCUAGAAUUGUACAAUUACCAAAUGGCACCACUACUCAUAUCACACACACUGGUUCAAGUAGUUUGACUAAACAUGAUACUCUCAAUAAUGUUCUCCUUAUUCCAGAGUUUAAGUUCAAUCUACUAUCUGUGUCAAAAAUGACUAAAGACCUGCAAUGUGUUGUGUCUUUCUUUCCUGAAUUUGUUGUCAUUCAGGACCUCUCAAAUGGGCAGGUGAAGGUGAUUGGUAAGGAGCAUGCUGGGCUCUAUCAUCUCCCUUCUCAUACUUACUCCACAAACACACAAUGUCAGUCACAUCUAGCACACACUACUGCUGUUUCUUUUUCAACAGACUCUCAGAUUCAAUUGUGGCAUCAAAGGCUAGGACACAUAUCAUCCAGUGUGUUAGCUCAUACUCUUGAUUUUUCUACCAUUAAAUGUUCUCAUAUUGUAUACACCUGCACCGUAUGCCCUUUAGCUAAGCAACAUAAACUUCUUUUUCCUCAUAGCACUUUCAUUUCUUCUAUUCCUUUCCAGUUGUUACAUAUAGAUGUUUGGGGUCCCUUCAACACUCCCACAUAUGAUUGUAACAGAUACUUUGUUACCAUAGUGGAUGAUUGUACUAGGAUGUUAUGGAUAUUUCUAAUAAAAUCCAAAAGUGAUGUUUGUAUUGUGUUGAAAAACUUCUUUACUUUGGUCAAAACUCAGUUUAACUUUGCUGUUAAAUCCAUUAGAACUGAUAAUGGGUCAGAGUUUGUCAAUACUGAGUGUCAUCAAUUGCUUACCAGUCUAGGUAUUAGUCAUCAAAAGACUUGCAUUCAUACUUUUCAACAGAAUGGGAUUGCUGAAAGGAAACACAAACACAUACUUGAAGUGGCAAGGGCAAUCAAGUUUCAGGGUUAUAUCCCAAUCAGAUUUUGGGGUCAGUGCAUUCUUAGUGCUGCAUACAUUAUCAACAGGUUGUCUACACCUAUGUUACAUGGGAAAUCACCCUAUGAGGUGUUUCACAAGAAGAAACCUUCUCUUUUACAUAUGAGAGUCUUAAGUUGCCUUUGUUAUGCCAAAAACAUGUACAUCACUAAUAAAUUUCACCCUAGAAGUGUGAUUGGUAUUCAUAUGGGUUAUAGUGAUCUUACGAAGGGGUAUUUGUUGUAUAACCUGCGAUAUAAGAAUUUCUUCCUCAGCAGAGAUGUUGAAUUCAGAGAGUCUAUAUUCCUUUUUGCUGUGCCUACAUCUAGUUCCUGGCAAUUAUUUCCCUCUACUAAUAUACCAUCUGGUCAUGAUCUUCGUUAUGAUCCUGGUUCAGUGCCUAUAGAGGAAUCAGAUGUGUCAUCUGUUGUGCCUGUACUUAAAGUUCCUGCUCAGAGGAAGUCUCACAGGAUCAGCAGAGCUCCAUUAUGGCUUUAAGAUUAUGUUGCCUUUGUUCGACUCGGUCCUAUCAAGCCAUUAUACUCCAUUGAUCAGUACAUUGGCUAUGAUAAUUUAUCCAGCUCUUAUAAGGCCUUUCUUUCUUCCUUUGGGACUGAUGUUGAACCUACCACUUUUGAGGAAGCUUGCAAGGACUCUAGAUGGGUUGAGGCAAUGCAGGCUGAGAUAUCAGCCUUGGAGGAUCAUAAGACUUGGCGAGUGGUUUCCUUACCUUCUCACAAAAAGGCUAUUGGUUGCAAGUGGAUAUUCAAGAUUAAGUAUAAGGCUUCUGGAGAAGUUGAGAGAUUUAAAGCCAGACUAGCUGCCAAAGGGUUCAAUUAGAGGGAAAGUUUAUACUACCAUGAGACUUUUUCUCCAGUUGUGAAAAUGGUCACUAUCAGGAGUGUGUUGGCUCUAGCUGCUUCUGAACACUGACAUGUUCAUCAAAUGGAUGUCUCCAAUGCUUUUCUUCAGGGAGAUCUUUUUUAUGAAGUUUAUAUGACUCUGCCUCAGGGAUUUCAACUUCCACAGGGAUUCAUUGUGCAUGGGGGAAACCUGGAUAUAAGCUCAAUAAAUCCCUCUAUGGGUUGAAACAAGCUCCUAGACAAUGGAAUGUAAAACUCGCUGAAGCUCUUAUCAAACUUGGUUUUGUUCAAAGUCUUUUGGACUACUCAUUGUUCAUUAAAAGGACUGGUACAUCACUAGUACUAAUUCUUAUAUAUGUGGAUGAUAUGAUGAUUACUGGUAAUGAUCUUAAACUUAUUCAACACAUCAAAAAGAUCCUCCAAGAUACCUUCAAGAUGAAGGAUUUAGGAGACCUCAGAUACUUUCUUGGGAUUGAAUUUGCAAGGUCACAAGCAGGUACUGUUAUGCAUCAAAGAAAGUACACAUUGGAAAUUAUUUCUGAAGUUGGCCUUGGAGCAGCAAAACCAGCUGCCACCCCUCUUGAUCCUUAUGUCCAGUUGACAACCAGAGAAUAUGAUGAAAUAAAAUGGAAAAGGCAAGGAUGAUAAACUACUUGAAGAUGCUACAAUAAAUAGAAGGUUAGUUGGCAAACUGUUAUAUCUAAAUGUCACAAGACCAGACAUUGCCUUUGCUACACAAACCUUGAGUCAGUUCCUUCACCAACCUAAGUAGUCUCAUCUUAAUGCUGCACUCAAAGUUGUGAGAUACAUAAAAGGACAAGCUGGACUAGGUGUCCUGUUAUCUAGCAAGAGAAACAAUCAACUGAAUGUAUAUUGUGAUUCAGACUGGGGAGCAUACCUACAUACUAGAAGAUCAGUUUCUGGUUUUAUGGUGAAGCUGGGAGAUUCACUAAUAUCCUGGAAGUCAAAGAAACAAGGAACAAUAUCUAGAAGUUCAGCUGAAGCAGAAUAUAGGGGCAUGGCAAAUGUUGUAGCUGAAGUUGUUUGGAUAGUGAGGUUAUUCAAAGAACUAGGUGCUGAUGUUCAAAUUCCUGUGACUAUUCACUGUGGUAGCAAGUCAGCAAUUCAAAUUGCAGCAAAUCCAGUUCUUCAUGAAAGAACAAAACAUAUUGAAUUGGAUUGCCAUUUCAUAAGGGAGAAAAUACAACAAGGAUUAGUGAAAACAAAGUAUUUGAAUACUAAGGAGCAAGAAGCUGAUAUAUUAACUAAAGUCUGGGAAGUCUCAACAUGAAUACUUAAUGUCCAAGUUUGGUGUAUUAAAUCUGUCCAUACCUUCAAACUUGAGGGGGAGUAUUUGAAGAAGGUAUUACAUAGGACCUACAUGUAAUUAGUAAGAGUUUGUAUGUAAUUAAUAGAAGUUAGAGGGUUAGUUAGUAAAGAGUCGGUUAGAUUAGUUACAACAAGAUUCCUACUUAGUUUGUAUAAAUGUAGCACAUUACUGAUUCAUUUGUUUUUCUCUUAAGCAAUGAAGUUCAUUUCUCAUUCUCUCUAAUUCUUCUUCUUUACGUCUAGAACAUUCCUAAUCAAAGGGAACUGUUCUUCAAGAUAUCUUCUUCAAGAUAUCUAACAUAGAAUCCAAUAAAUUCUUCUUAGUAUAAUAAGUAAGCAACAGUUAUAACUCUAGUAAUUAUGACUAAUAACUCUAAUAAAAUGUAUUCUACAUUCUAAAAGUAGAGAGGAAAGAGACAAUAUUUAGGUUCUGUAAUUUUUUGUUGGAUAUGCUAUGUUUAUAACAGAGAUGAAGUUUAUUUUUAUGGUUUACCAAUUCCAAGCACUUGUUCUUUAAUUUGCACAUAAACCUAAUAAAUGAGGGCAACAAAAUUAGAUCAUAAAUGCAUGAUUCACCUUAGUGUAUAUAUUGAUCCCUUCACUUUUUCUUUCCUAUUUUUCAUACGAAAUUUUGUUCACACACCCAACAUUAUAUUUAUGUGAUUCUAUUUUGUUAUCAAAUAUUGUCUUGGUUAAAGUCACCGCAUAUUGUAGCUAGCUAUCAAAUAAGAAAUAAGUCGUAAGGAGUUUUACGUUAUCAUAAUUCGAGAAAUACGUCACUAACAAUCUUAAAAUUAUGGAGAAAUUCAUAGAGAAACAUCAAGGAAGAACAUAAUUAUAUGCACACUAUUUAUUAAUGGGAUAUUUUUCUUCUUCAUAUUUUAUUUGUGCCUGAAAUUUAACUUUCAUAUAUUUAAAUUUGUUGCAAACAACAUAUGUAUAUUGAUCCAUAUGUUGUUGUGGAUUUAACUGCCCUGAACAUACUCCUAAGUCCUAAUAUUGUUAGAAAAUAGCAUUUGAAAGCACAUGAAAUAUAUUUUUCCUAACUUAAAAUUUGUUGCAAACUAACAUAUUGUAUAUUGAUCCCUAUGGUGUUGUGGGUUAAUUAAACUGACCUAAACAUACUCCUAAAUCCUAAUACUUUUAGAAAAUAACAUUUAAAGCACAUUAACUUUGAAAUUUACCCUUAAGAAAAUGGAUUUGCAAGCAACAAUGCUUGCAUUAUCCUUAAGAAAUUUAACCUUAUGAAUAUUGUGCUUAAUUAUUUCUCCUUUUUUUUAAAAAAAAAAAAAACUAAUUAAGUAUUAUUUAUAGAAUAGUUAACUAAUUUGUCCUUUAUUAUGUAUAUUCUUAUUAUAUAUAUAUAUAUAUAUAUAUAUAUUUGAGGAAAAACAAUUUUUUUUAGUUUUUGAAUAUUUUUUUGCUAAUUCUUUAAAAGCACUUAAUUAUGUUCUUCCAAAACAACUUAUUUUUAAAAAAUAAAUAUAGAAGUAUUAUAAGGCUCUAUAUUUAAGCUUAUCCAAACUAUUUAUAAGGCUCGUUUUGAACCAAACAAUAUUAUUCACAAGAACCAAAAAGUGAUCACUCUCAUAUUCCUUGCCAUGUUUUAAACACUAAUAUCUAGUGGUCCUUAGCGUGGUCGUUAUUACAAGUAAAUUAUUUAAAUGCUCAUUCAAUUAUAAUAAAUUCCUUAUCAAACAUUACUUAUUUUUCUUCAUCUCAUUUUUUGUUGCACUUCAUUAAUUUCGAGAAUUCAAAUAAGUAUUUCUUUGUUCGUAAACUUUUUCCUAUAUGGUAUAAACUUUGUGUUAAAAAAAAUGAUUAUAUAAAAUGAUACUGUAUUGAUUUUUACUGUUGUGCUCUUUAAUCAACUAAUAAUGUCCAACAACUUUUAAGGAUGGACAUCGACUAGUCGACUACCACUAGGGAACAAUACGUACUCAUGUUUAGAACGUGCCACAAUUUAAGGACUUACGUACGCCAUACAAAUUAAGGCCCCGUUUGGCCAUGCGAUAUGAUAUCAUAAUAUGGAAUUAUGAGAUGAAAUUGAAGUUUUGUUUGGACAUACGAUAUGAAAUUUUUGUGUUGUAUAUUUUCUCAUAAACAUAAGAAUCUCAUAAGUUGUAAAACUAUUAAAAUAGCCCCAAUUGUUUAUUCAAUCUUACCAAAUAAAUAAAAAUUUAUAAAAUUGCAUAAUAAAUUAUUACAAAGCUAUUUGUUCUCCACUUAAGUAACUGUUUCAUCUAACUUUAAUUCAUCAAACUUUAAUUCAAUAAAAAAUUGAAUAAAUUGUAGUGUACUAGUUUUUAAUAUAAUCUUCUCACAUAGUACGAACAAUUUCCUCAAGUUAAACUUGUAUUUCUCGUUCAUGUGAUCGCGAAGACGAACCAACAUUGUUACUUUGAGCCAUUUGUUGGUCAAUAUCAUCUGCAACUAUAUUUUCAUGAUCAUAGACUAUAAAUAUUUCAUCAGUCCUUUAGUAUUCUCGCAAAUAAUUAUGUAACACUGCACAAGCUAUGACAAUUUUUCACUGCAUCAAUUUUUAUCUGCUUUGUUGUUCAAAUAGAUAUAACUAUAAGUUGUAAUAAAUACAAAACGGUAGAAGCAAUAAAUUUAGGUGUUGGAGUAAAUGAAGAGAACAAAUUUAUUACUCAACAAUCGGUUGUUGUGAGUUAAAGUGACUAUAUGUUUGGUGAGAAUAAUAAAUUUUAAAAAUUAAUGAUAUGAUUAUAAAUUUUAUUUACAUAUGAAAUAAAUGGUUAGUAGAUAUAAAUGUGGGGUUGUUUUGACAAAAUAUAAACUUGUGGAUCAAUUUUUGUAUUAAAAUAUCUCAAAUCAUGAUAUGAAAUUCCCAUAUCAUGAUUUUUGGAGAAUAUGGAAUCAUAUCUCAUGAUAUGGAAUCAUGAGAUGGAAUCAGCGUGAAAUCGCAUGUCCAAACGUUGAUUCCAUCUCACUAUUCCAUAUCGUGAUAUGGUAUCGUAUGGCCAAACACCUACUAAGUAUUUAUUGUUAAUGGUGUUCAAGAUUUAGAUAAAAUUUGAUUUAAACUGAAUAUUCAAACCAAAUAAACUAAAUAAAAGGCUUUAUUUGUGGUUGGAUUUGAUUUGGUUUUAUAUUUUAAAAAACCGAUAGUAUUUGAUUUGAUUUUGAUUUUGAUUUUGUUAAAAAAAAUCAAAGAAAUAACCAAAUUGAACCGAUAAAUUACAUACAUAUGUUUUAUUAUUAUACAUGCAUAAUAUAUUAUUUUUAUAGAUAAUUUUAAAUAUCUUAUAUAUGUUUUCAUCAAAAUUUAUUUAUGAAAGUAAAAACGUUCAAUAUCAGAACAUUUAUUUUAUUGAUUUCAUGUAUAACAGUAUAAGAGUGUAUGAUAUUUUUUUGUGGGACUAGGAAUGUCACUAUCUCUUCCUUCUAGACCAAAAUGAUGAAUUUUGAAACUUUAUUCACAGUAAAUUUAAUGAUCAAAAGUUUUGUAAUGUUAGUCGUCCUAACUAUUUUUCAUUUUGAAUGAAUUUUUUUAAAAAAAAUUUAACUACUGAAUAACCGAGCCAAACUGAACCGAAAUUGAUAUUAACCAAACCGAUAAAUGGAUGUUAUAUUUGGUUUGGUUGGUUUUAUAAUUUAAAAUCGAUUAAAUUAGUUUGGUUUUAAUUUUGACCAAUAACCGAUCAAAACCAACCCGUAAACACCCCUGCUACAAGAAUAAGGUCAUAUACGAUGCAACUACUCCCUCUUUUCACUUUUAUGUUCACUAUUCUGAAAGUAAAUAUUCAUUUUUACUUGUCACUUUUAAUUACUCUUAAUAUUAAUUACUUAUUUACCUGAGGAAAGAAACAUGCGCAAAAAGUCCAAAUAUUCGUGAGUUCCGGAAGGAAAGAAGAUUGUUGUCUUUUUCCCUCUUUUGAAUGAAUUUUUUUAAAUAAUUUUUGUGUAUUGUUAAUAACUGAAUAACUGAGCUAAACUGAAUCUAAAUUGAUAUCAACCAAAUCGAUAAAUAAAUAUUAUAUUUGGUUUGGUUGGUUUUAUAAUUUAAAACCGGUUACAUUGAUUUGAUUUUAAUUUUGACGAAUAACCGACUGAAACUGACCUGUGAACACCCUACUUACGUGAAUAAGGUCAUAUAUGAUGUAUCUACUUCCUUUGUCCAUUUUUAUGUUCACUAUUCUUAAAAUAAAUAUUCCUGAAAGGCGAAAAUAAACUCCAAAUAAUCAUGAAUUAGAGAGAUAAAGAACAUUGGCAUGAUAAAAGAGUUUUAUUUAGAAAGAUACUAAUUAUAGUAGAACAUAGUAGGUGCUUAUGCGCGCACAAAGUAGACACUAAGAGGGAAACGGAGCCCUUGAGAAGGCGUUUGUCUUGUGGCGAGAGCCAAACGCCUUCUUCCAUCUAACACAAUCACCCACACUACUCGACAUUGAUUAAGAGCACAAUUUGGACAUACAAAAGGACCAGGACAAUUCAACAAAUGGUAACCUCUUUCUGCUCUCACUAUUUUAAACCAACUACUAUCUGCUCUUCCUAUCGUUCCUCCACGAGUCCCAAACAAACUUGCCUCUAGUGUUGCAUUGUAUUCUCCCACUUUCCAAUUUACAAAAUUAUCACAAUUCCUCGAACCAACGAACUGGAUGUUAAUGUCUUGGUUUUCAUAGAUGAGAGGUGGUUGUCCUCUACAAGAAUGUUCAAUAAAUCUAAGGGGUGUACCUCUUUGUCCAUCGGAGUUGUACUUGAAGACGCCGUCUGGACAAGAGGCACCUGAAUUUGGGAUGUGACCUAGGUAUACAUGACCACUUAGGACACCUCCGAGAGACGAAGCAAUACGAUAAUUUGAACGAGGAUUAAUUCCUCUACCCAAUGUGUCGAAUACUUGCCUAUUAGAAUUACGAGGAUUUUGGCAAGGGGAAGUUGAUGAAAACGCAACAAACGCAAGCAAACAAAGAGAUGAGAAGAAUAAUAAACACUUGGUCAUGUUUCAGUUGUGACUUGUUUAUACUAAUAAAGCCUUCUAUUUUAUAGAGUGAAGUGCUAUCCUCAUAAUGUCAAUGUCAUGUAUCUAGUGUGGUUUGUAUGUAUCUGAGAUACAUGAGCUACCAUGCUUCAUAAUCAAGAAGAAGAAACAAUAAGGAUUGCUCAACUUCGAGCCUCCUUAAAGUGUUAGCCCUGUAGUCACCGGUAGUCCACUAUACCAAUAUCGUUAUAGAUUUUAGAAACAUUUAUAAAGAGUGAUAAUUAUCUCUAAAAAUACAUAUUUACCGACAAUCAAACUAUUGCCAUUAGUUAAUUGUCACCCCUUUAAUUAUUAUUUGUUUUCAAAUAUGUAUACCAUUAUAUUAUGUGGAAUUAAGUGAGUACGUCGUAACUAAUAUUUUUGCACAAAAACAUUUUUUACUGUUCAAUACUUAGCGACUCAUAUCAAUUAAUCUAAUUUAAUAAUUCAUACACAAAAAAAUGAAAAAAUAGUUUUAAAAUAUGCGAAAUUGAAUGGAUAUACCCUUUUAAAUAUAUAAAUAUACUCAACUAACCAUCGUACUUCAUUGGCACGUUUUACUUAUUCAUAAUCAUUAAUGGUCCCGUUUGCACAGCAUUAUUGGUCCUGCAAUUAGAGCAGAGGAUAAGAAGGCAAAUUUGGGCGCUUCUUCUUGAUAGGUCUAUAUGAUAUGGUCCUUCCAACAAAAAUACAAAUCUCUUAAUUUUUAUACGAGAUAUUUUACUAUUAUGGGUGUAUUUAAUACGAAUGAAAAAGUUUCAUUUUCUCAAUUGAUUACUUAGUUUUUUAAUGGGGUGUGUGGGGUUGUGAGAGAAAGAGAUUGGACUUUGGAGAGUACAUGGGGUGAGAUACUCGUGGAGAGUGGACCAAUAAAUUUUUGUAAGAUUAAAUGUAUUUGAAAGUUUGUAACUAUAAUAUGCAACUGUAAAUAUAUAUCUAUAUAUAAUAGGAGAAGAAAAAAUGUCACAUGUUAGCACCAUAAAUUUUCAAAAUUUUAGAUUAUAAAUAAUUAAUAUUAUAUAACUAAUUAAAUAUUAUAAAUUAGAAAUAAAAUUCACAUGUCAAAAGGGGUGUAAAACACCGAACCACAAAUUGAGUUAAACCGAACAAAAAACCCGACUAGUGGUUUGGUUUGGUAUUGGGAAAAAAACCUCGACUAUAUUUGGGUUGGUUUGAUUUUAACUAAAAAAAACAACUCGAGACCAAACCAACCCGACAUUAUAUAUGUAAUUUUAAAAUUUUAUUUUAUACAUAAAAAUAUUUACAUUGAUAUAAUUUUAAAAUAUUUCUUAUACUAUUUCAUAGUUUUUAUCUUUUAAUAUAUUAUUUCAAGUUUAAAACUUAGAAUUCGGAAUGGUCCAAUAAAGAUUAUAGUUCAUAGAUGUUAAUAAUUAUAAUAAACUUAAAUCAAAAUCAAAUUAAUACUAAUGCAAAAAGAAAAUCAAUUCAACACUAAGAAUGACAAUAAUAUUGAAUAUUUGUUCUUUAGUUUUACAUUGGUUUAGACAAUUAAAAUACAUAAUCUAAUUUUAAUUGUCCUUAAAUAUUUAGUAAUGUAACUAAUACUUAUUAAACUUAUUUUAGCAUGAUUUAGUACUUUUAAAUUAUGAUCAUUUUCAUUAUGACGUUGCAAUAUUUAUUUUUAUAUGAUGAUUUCAUUAUUAUUUUUUAUUGACUAUUUUAGUGUCAUCACGCAUCUCAUAUUUUGUGUUAUUUUCUUAAGAAACACCUUAGAUAAUUGUAUUUUGGUUGGACUAAAGAAACAUUUGAAGCACAAGUUAAUUAUAUGUUUGUAUGCAAACUUUACCGAAAAAAUCCAAAAAUCUGAGGUUUAUUAGUUUGGUUUGAUUUAUAAGUUUAAAAUUAAAUUCGACAAUGGUUUGGUUUGGUAUUUGAAAAACCCAAAAAAAUUCAAAUUUUAUUAGUUUGGUUUGAUUUAUAAAUUUCAAAAUUUUACACAAAUGGUUUGGUUUGAUAUUUGGAAAACCCAAACCAACCCGGUCAUGUACACCCCUAUGUCAAAUAAUAACAAAUGUCAGCAUUUUUAUAAACAAAUUUAAUAUUUUUUUAAAAUCCAAUUUAUAAAUUAGUAAUAGAUUUUUUUUAUUUUAAUCUAGGACAUAUUUACUAUUUUUUUAAAAAUAAUUUAUACACUUUUUUUAAAAAGGCAGUUCUAUAAAUGACAAAUGUCAUCAAAUUAGAUGAACACCGACAAAUGUCAGCACCCAAAAAAAGUGUAUGUUUUUUUUUAAAGUUUAAUUAUAAAUUUGUAAAAAAUAUUUUUUUAAAAAAAUCAUUUAAUCUAGGCUGGUUUAAUAUUUCAAAAAGUAUCCAAUUUAUAAAAUUCAAAUAAAAUAAAGGACAAUCUUAUCUUAUAUAUAUAAAUUUUAAAAACUGAUUGUUAAAAACAAAGAUUACCAUUAGAAAAAAAUUUAAAACUUAUUGUAAAAAAAAAAGUUGAAGACGGUGGAUUCUUAAGCAAUGGGGUAGUUUUUUUUCCCUUUAUUUUUAAAAAUUAAAUUUUAAAACGGUUUGUUAGCAAAUACAAUAUUUACCAUUAAAAAAUAAAUUAAAAAACUUAUUGUUAAAAAACUGUGGAUUUGUAGGAAAAAUGAGGUAGUUUUCUUCCCUUUCUUUUUAAAAAUUUAUUAAAUUGUAUUCACAUAAUAGAAAGAAAAGUCUUUCAAUUUUAAAAAGAAAACGGAUAUCACGUCCAUUAAAAAAAGAAACCUUAAAAUUAGCCACAACAAAAUAUUUGAAUAAUUAAUUUAAAAUUCAAAUUUUAAAUAAUAACUAACCUUAUCCCUAAAAAGAAUCUCAACUUCCUAACCCACAUCUUUAAAAAAAAGUUACUAUUCUUAAAGCAUCAUUCACAUCUUUUUUAACCAAACACUUCAAAAUACGAAUUCAAACAUUUGUAAAACAAAAAUUACAUUCAAACAAAAAAAUUAUUACACUCAUGUGAGAUCAUAAAAGAAAAUGAGGGCAAACAUAGUAGUGUAUUGUGUGUAUUUAUUCCAUUUUUCUUAAUUGUUUGAUUUGAAAUUAUUUUGUUAUGUCUGAUGAAAGGAGAAGGAUCACCAUACUCUCCAAUGCAACAAAGAAAAAGAAGAAACAAAUGAUGAAUAAAUGGAGGAAUUCUAUAUAUUUCAUAGUAGUGGACCAUGUAU